rnacentral:rRNA from 1 species
UAGUCCACGCCGUAAACGAUGGUCACUAGCUGUGUGGAUUUCGGUCUGCGUGGCUAAGCGAAAGUGAUAAGUGGCCCACCUGGGGAGUACGUUCGCAAGAAUGAAACUCAAAGGAAUUGACGGGGGCCCGCACAAGCGGUGGAGCAUGUGGUUUAAUUCGAUGAUACGCGAGGAACCUUACCAGGGCUUAAAUGUAAGUUGCAUAGAUCAGAGAUGGUCUUUUCUUCGGACUACUUACAAGGUGCUGCAUGGUUGUCGUCAGCUCGUGCCGUGAGGUGUCAGGUUAAGUCCUAUAACGAGCGCAACCCCUGUUGUUAGUUGCCAUCGAGUAAUGUCGGGAACUCUAACAAGACUGCCGGUGCAAACCGUGAGGAAGGUGGGGAUGACGUCAAAUCAUCACGGCCCUUACGUCCUGGGCUACACACGUGCUACAAUGGUAAGUACAAUGAGCAGCCACUACGCGAGUAGGAGCGAAUCUAUAAAACUUAUCACAGUUCGGAUCGG